GGGGUUGUGGCUCAGUGGUAGAGCACUUGCCUGGCAUGUGUGAGGCCCUAGGUUCAAUCCUUAGCACCA
rnacentral:tRNA from 1 species